AUGGCUCCGAAGACGGCUGCUUCUGUGCUUGGCUCUCCAGUGUUUGUACUGUUUUUGUUCGUUUUUCCUGUUUUUUGUUUGUCAAACACGAUCAGUUUCACCAGGGAUGAAUUGCUGAACAUUCGGCAGAACACACCACAAAAUCUUUUACCGGAUUUCAAUUAUUCGGACGUUUUACUGAACAUUUUUGUCAGUGGAGCAGCGGCGCUGAUCAAACGCUUCAAAAAGUGCAACCGGGAAAAGCGAGCUGGUGCGCUCAUUAGACUCAUUAGGAAGCGCGGAUUUCGAACGCCGUUGCCUAGCAUCCAUCUGGCAAAUCUCCACUCUCUACCCAACAAAACGGACAAACUCCUUCUGCUUUCCUGGACAAAUAAGGAUUUAUCACACUCUGCUGCUCUGUGUUUCACGGAAACCUGGCUCAAUGACGCCAUACCGGACAGCGCGCUCCAUCUGCCGGACUUUCAGCUGUUUAGAGUGGAUCGCGACGCAGAAUCAACGGGGAAAUCGCGCGGCGGCGGGACAGGCUUUUAUAUCAAUGAACUGUGGUGCACAGAUGUAACUGUGUUAAAGAAGAUGUGCUGUUCAGACCUAGAAGUGCUUUUUGUCAAAUGCAAGACGUUCUAUUCGCCGUGGGAGUUUCACUCGUUCAUUCUGGUGAAUGUUUACAUCCCUCCGCAAGCGCACGUAAGUCUGGCUUUACAGAAACUCGCUGACCAGAUCACAGAGACAGAACAACAACACCCAGACUCUGUUUUAAUCAUUUUUGGGGACUUUAAUAAAGCCAAUCUCUCUCGUGAACUGCCAAAAUACAGACAGCAUGUAACAUGUCCCACAAGAGACAGUAACAUACUAGAUCACUGUUACACCACAUUAAAGGAUGCAUAUCACUCUGUUCCACGAGCAGCUUUGGGACUGUCUGAUCACUGUCUGGUUCAUCUUAUACCAACCUACAGGCAGAAACUUAAAUCUGCUAAACCUGUACUAAAGACUGUAAAGAGAUGGACCAACGAAACAGAGCAGGAUUUACAAGCUUGUUUUGAGCUCACUGAUUGGAGUGUUUUUGAAGCUGCUACCACCGAUCUGGACGAACUCACCGAGACCGUAACAUCCUAUAUUAGUUUUUGUGAGGAUAUAUGUAUUCCUACCAGGACUUAUUUAACAUUCAACAAUGAUAAGCCAUGGUUUACAGCAAAACUCAGACAUCUUCGUUUGGCCAAAGAGGAUGCCUACAGAAAUGGGGACAGAGUCUUGUAUAAUCAGGCCAGAAACACACUGAACAAAGAGAUUAGAGCGGCUAAAAGGACCUACUCUAAAAAGUUGGAAGACCAGUUUACUUCCAACGACUCAACUUCAGUGUGGAGAGGACUGAGAGCCAUCACCAACUACAAGACACCAUCCCCCUGA
ensembl:lncRNA